UGGGGAAUUUUGGACAAUGGGCGAAAGCCUGAUCCAGCAAUGCCGCGUGUGUGAAGAAGGCCUUCGGGUUGUAAAGCACUUUUGUCCGGAAAGAAAUCCUUGGCUCUAAUACAGUCGGGGGAUGACGGUACCGGAAGAAUAAGCACCGGCUAACUACGUGCCAGCAGCCGCGGUAAUACGUAGGGUGCAAGCGUUAAUCGGAAUUACUGGGCGUAAAGCGUGCGCAGGCGGUUUGCUAAGACCGAUGUGAAAUCCCCGGGCUCAACCUGGGAACUGCAUUGGUGACUGGGCAGGCUAGAGUAUGGCAGAGGGGGGUAGAAUUCCACGUGUAGCAGUGAAAUGCGUAGAGAUGUGGAGGAAUACCGAUGGCGAAGGCAGCCCCCUGGGCCAAUACUGACGCUCAUGCACGAAAGCGUGGGGAGCAAACAGGAUUAGAUACCCUGGUAGUCCACGCCCUAAACGAUGUCAACUAGUUGUUGGGGAUUCAUUUCCUAGUAACGUAGCUAACGCGUGAAGUUGACCGCCUGGGGAGUACGGUCGCAAGAUUAAACUCAAUGAAUUGACGGGGUCAUAGCUGUUUCCU
rnacentral:rRNA from 1 species